CCCCUAGAUGUUCUGGGCCGCACGCGCGCUACACUGAACAGUUCAACAAGUCUUAACCUUGGCCGAUAGGUCUGGGUAAUCUUUGAACGCUGUUCGUGAUUGGGAUAGACCUUUGCAAUUAUGGGUCUUCAACGAGGAAUUCCUAGUAAACGCAAGUCAUCAGCUUGCAUUGAUUACGUCCCUGCCCUUUGUACACACCACCCGUCGCACCUACCGAUUGAAUGGUCCGGUGAAAUCUCGGGACGGCGGCUUGGUCGCUUGCGUCCGACUGCUGAAACUUGAUUAAACCAUNUNAUUUAGNGGAAGGUGAANUCGUANCA
rnacentral:rRNA from 1 species